AGAGUUUGAUCCUGGCUCAGGAUGAACGCUGGUAGUGUGUUUUAGGCAUGCAAGUCGAGCGCCCUUUUUAGGGAGCGGCAAACGGGUUAGUAACGCGUGGGUAAUGUACCCCAAAGACGAGGAAAACCCGGGGAAACCCGGGCUAAUCCUCGAUGGUCCGCAUAAUUUGUUUUAUGCGGUAAAGCUUUUGCGCUUUGGGAGCAGCCUGCGUCCUAUUAGCUAGAUGGUGCGGUAAAGGCGCACCAUGGCAAUGAUGGGUAGGUGGCCUGAGAAGGCGGUCGCCAACCAAGGCACUGAGACACGGGCCUUACUCCUACGGGAGGCAGCAGCUAAGAAUCUUGCGCAAUGGAGGAAACUCUGACGCAGCGACACUACGUGCCUGAAGAAGCUCUGCGGAGUGUAAAGGGCUUUUCUCAGGGAGCAAGCCAGUUUACUGGUUGAUAGUACCUGAGGAAUAAGGGGGGGCUAAUCGCGUGCCAGCAGCAGCGGUAAGACGUGACCCCCAAGCGUUAUCCGGAGUUAUUGGGCGUAAAGAGUUCGUAGGCGGCUUGAUAAGUCCAAAGUGAAAGACCUCGGGCUUAACCUGAGGGGCGCUUUGGAAACUGUUAAGCUAGAGAGCAUUAGGGGCUGAUGGAACGCACGGUGUAGGGGUGGAAUCCGUUGAUAUCGUGCGGAACACCAAAAGCGAAGGCAUUCAGCUGGGAUGACUCUGACGCUGAGGAACGAAAGCCAGGGUAGCGAAUGGGAUUAGAUACCCCAGUAGUCCUGGCCGUAAACUAUGGGUACUAGCUAUUGCAAGUGUCGACCCUUGCAGUGGCGAAGCUAACGCGUUAAGUACCCCGCCUGGGUAGUACAGCCGCAAGGCCGAAACUCAAAGGAAUAGACGGGGGCCUACACAAGCGGUGGAUCAUGUGGCUUAAUUCGAUAACAAGCGAGGAACCUUACCAGGGCUUGACAUCCUAGUGAUGACCAUAAGAAACUAUGGUUUCCACAAGGACACUAGGACAGGUGGUGCAUGGUUGUCGUCAGCAGGUGCCGUGAGGUGCUCCCUUAAAUGGGGAAACCUGCGAAACCCUUGCGCUAUGUUUUACGUGUCAUAGCGGACUGCCCGCGUACAGCGGGAGGAAGGUGAGGAUGACGUCAAAUCAGCAUGUCCUUUAUGUCCUGGGCCGCACACAUGAUACAAUGGCCGGUACAACGAGUUGCCAAGUCGUAAGGCGGAGCUAAUCUCUAAAAACCGGUCUCAGUCCGGAUUGAGGUCUGCAAUUCGACCUCAUGAAGAUGGAAUCGCUAGUAAUCGCGAAUCAUCACGUCGCGGUGAAUAUGUUCCUGGGCCUUGUACACACCGCCCGU
rnacentral:rRNA from 1 species